GCCUGCAACUCGGCUGCAUGAAGCUGGAAUCGCUAGUAAUCGCAGAUCAGAAUGCUGCGGUGAAUACGUUCCCGGGUCUUGUACACACCGCCCGUCACACCAUGGGAGUUGGGAAUGCCCGAAGUCAGUGACCCAACCGCAAGGAGGGAGCUGCCGAAGGCAGGCUUGAUAACUGGGGUGAAGUCGUAACAAGGUAAC
rnacentral:rRNA from 1 species